AAAGGGUUCUACAAGGAAGGUUUAUGAAAACCUUGAGAAUAAAAAUGCAGAAUAAUCAUAUCCUUAUAGAUUGUAUCAAGACGACAGAAAUUGUAUGAUCAGACCCCUGACCAUCGCCUCAGCUCAUCAUUGCGUCAUCUGGAUGGCUUCCCUAAGCUCCCACCUGGGCCCAGAAAGGAAACGGCUUAUGACCUGCAGUCUUUGACUAUCACCAUCUCCAUUCUAUUUAUGGCCCUGCUGCACCUCUGUGCAAAUUAGGAGAAGGUGACCCUCUUGUGGGGAUGGAGGAGAAGGACAAACCAGGCCGUGAUCUGGCCAGUAAAGUGGGACUGGGCUGGCUCCUGGUGGGCUUUGGUAAGGUGUAACCUGCACCAUGGUCAUUACUGCCCAAAAUGAGAGCCAUCAGCUUGCUAAGAAUCGCUGAGCCCGGAGCGCCACUCUUGGGUGAAGAUGCUUCUUUCAGAUCCCCGCCUACCCACCUGCAAGGCUUGCAGGAAGUCUUGAGAAGAACCAAGAAGGAGGCUGAUGCUCCUAGUUGUUCAUGAGCAGCCAAUGUGGUAGGCUGAUGCCUAACAGUUUCCACCUUCUUCUGCAUUUGUGGCUGAGGAUCUACCCAUGAGCCCCACAGAGCAAGAGCUGCCAGAUUAAUGCUCCUGCCUAUGACAUGGAAAUUGUCAAAAAUAGACCUGAAUCCUUGCCAGGCCUCCCCAUGAUUUCUGUGUAGUAUGGCCUUAAAUAUAUUAGAUAAGUCAGAAGCCUAAAAUAGCUCAGCUCUUAGAAUAACAGAAUUUGGUCCCCUCCCACUUCCGUAAGUUGAAUUCUUAAUUGCUAAAUUUCAGGCUUUUUUGUUGUUGUUUAUGUAAGAAUUUCAAGGCCACAACUCCAUAUUUGAAGUAAAGUGCUCAUAAAAUUAAUUGCAAGUAGGUGUAGUCCUUCCUUAGCCUGCUUUUUAAUGAGUGCUGCUAAAGCCCUUAGCCUGCCUGUUUACCCUUGGAGUGGAGCAAUGAACUGAAGAUAUUUGAGUGAGUUCAAGAGAGACUCAGAAGAGAAGAAUUGGAGGCAGCAAACAUAGACAGCACUUUUAAUGCUUUUCUCAUAUGCUGUAAGACAUGAAAGCAAUCUAUUGGGAUGAAAGCUGAAAGGAGAAGCGGGACAAGAGAAGUGAAUCCGUGGAAGACCCCCAAAAGAGGCUGCAGAUUCUUAGUGGACAGCUCUCAUAUCCCCUCCAGGGAAAAUGAUGAAAAAUGUCUUCAGAAAAAUAGCUUUAUGAAGGCAAGAGGACUUUUUGCACCUGCAAGACAUGUCUGAAAGCUCCUCAGGUCAAAACACAAGUAGUCAAGAGAUUUGUCCAUCUAAUUCAUCAUACUACUCUGAUCCAAGUGAGACCCACACUGGGUCAGCUCCAUCAAGGAGAAGAACAUUCCACCCACGUUUGGAUUCUGGAAUAUCAUCCUUGCUUCCAUCAGAUUCUUGUAAGUACCUCACUUGGCACAAGGUAGACAUGACGUUCAAGGAAGUCAACUGCGUUGCCCAAGAGUAAGAGAAGGAAUCUCUGAAGAAGAGCAACUUUUCAGACAGGUAGAGUGUGCCUUGCUCCCAAGGAAAAGAGUUCUUGAAAAAAACAAAUGGGAAACAUGGCUACAAGAAAACUGGGAAGACUGCAAGAAUUUGAACAUUUCAUUUCAGGGUUUGGGGGAUCCUUACCAAGUUGAAAAUUUUAACAGAAUUCUUAGAAGACUAAUUCGAGUUGAAACCCUCUGGUUAGUGGAUAAUUCACUGGUGGACUUAAGUGCCAUAAGAUUGCCAAGGCAAAAACAUGCUAACUGACAAGAAAAUCAUGGGUUUUAUACAAGGAUAACAAGUGCUGGGUUGCUUAGCUAUGAGGAAGGCUAGGCUCACUGCAUACCAGAAGAUGUACAGCGUUGGAGAAUUCAGGGAUUUUUAUCAACAAUCAAACUAUAUUUGUGGAAAUUUUGUGCAUAAGUGCCAAAGAUGGCUGACAUCGGACCACAUUCUAUUUAACUCAACUGAAUGACACCAAGCUCUCAUCCUAAAACUUAUAGUUACAUCCACCCUUCUGAAAUAUUUAAUUAUUCUCCAAUACACUGGAGGUAAUAGGUAUAAAAAGAAUGAGCAUGUGCAACUUAGUAUCUCAUAUCUAAUUUUGUGUCCCAAGUUCAUUCUUCCCCUGAAUGUCCCAUGUCUACCAGGUGCAGGAUUAUCUGGAUGGGUCAGUUCAAAACAAUUUCAGGGAAUAAAUUGUGUAGGGGACUCAAUUUUCUGAGACAGAAACAUAAUGUGAAUAACUCCUUUGUUAGAAAAUAAUUUCAGUGACAGAAAGCCUUUCAGUUCAUAAAGAAAACUUACAUAUCAACAAGCCUAGCUCCUCACUAGUCCCAGUGAAUGCUUACAUCAAUCAGCUCUACAAUAUCCAGUAAAGGACUUUCCAAUUCGCCUUUGAAUAAACUGAGGUAUUGGAAACAUCUAAGAAAAUGGUUUUUAAUUCUUCCUAAUCUUCAGGGAGUUCUUCCUUAUAUUGAGCUGAUAUCUGCCCUCUGUAACUUUCAACUAAUUAUUCAAAUCUCUCAAGUGAUUAUAAUUAAUUCCAUCUUAUAAGGAAUUUUUCUCAGCUUCCAGCCUCUUGAAAAUACUCUGAUAUUUUCUCUAAUAUUCAAGUGGAAAUGUAAAUGGGUAACGUAAGAGUCUGUGGGGUUAGGAGGGUGGAGGAAAGGUAAGGGAAAGCUAAUGAGAAAUAACCAAAGCAAGAAAAAGAAUUUUAUUUUCUUCAAGUUCUUUGUACAUCCAAAGUGGAAGAUUCCUAAAAUAAAUUCCCCAUACCACAUUUUAAAAAUUAGGUUAGCAAGCUUACUUUUUAAUUUAUUUAGAAGCCAACUACUUCCAUUUAUUAUUUCUUUCCAGAAUAGAACAAUUAUCACUAAUUGUUUGUCAUUAUAAUGCCAAACUAUGUUAAUAGAUGCCUAUUUUUUUAAAGGCUAAUUGCAAUCAUGAAACCAAAUAUCUAAUUAGUUUUAGAGCUUUGGACCACAUGCAUCAAUAUUUGAAUCAUUCAGGUGUAUAUUUGCUUUCUGCUUUUUUGUCUCUUCAAAAGAAGUAUUAUAUGCAUUCUGUUUAUAAUUUCUAAAUGGUCAUUUCAAAACUGAUUAUACGAGUUUAUACAAAUCAUACUGAAAUUUGUUGCUUAAAAAAUCUUCAUUUUUCUCUAAGCUCUCAGUGUCCUUGAGCUAUAUAUAUUUUAUGGCAAUUUUUACUUAAUAGUUUGUAUGCUAGUUAUUUUUGACAAUGACUACUAAAAUGCAAGUUUCUUCAAGGGCAGAUUCACCUUAGUUCUUCUUUAUACCCCUCAAAAACCUCAGGGUUAUUCUCAAUAAGUAUUGAGUAGGUGAGUGAACUUUGGAUGUAUACUCCUUGAAAUUAUAUUUCUGGAGCUGGAAAACUUUAAAAAAAUGUAUGUCAUGAGUCUAAAGAAAUAAACAUUAUAUGGCUGAAAAAAUACUUUGUGAAAACCAAAAAUCUCAUGGAAUCAUGAACUUAUCUAUGGGACAGAUGUUAGCCCUGAGGUUGUUCUGGGCUUCUUUUCUACCCACUUCCCAUGACCAAAUCAGUUCACUAGUCAGCAGUUCUAUCCUUCCUCUCCUUCUCCUUCCAUCUAAGGAGCUAGAGCUGAACUGCUUGGCCACUGAUUGCUGACAUGCUGAGUUUUCUACAGCUGGAGUUUUCAAGAGGGCUUUGAUUUUGCUUUCCCCAGUUUUCCUUCUUCCACACUUGAAAAGUGGUAAGGGUACCAGCUUUCUGUCUAUCUCUGACUCUCUCUCUCUCUUUCACACACACACACACACACACACACACACACACACACACUUUUUUUUUUCUUCCACCCUCCUGCACAGCAGGAGACCUUGCCUUGAUCUUUGAAGGUCUACAGCAAGUGGUCUAGGCUAACUCAGUGCUGGGCAAAUGGAGCAAAAACUCUUUUCUGCUUCCUUGCCUCCAUGUCUUUCAGAGCUAGCAGAUACAGCUUUUGUUCUAUAGGAGUGAUUCUUUCUAAAUGUCAGCUCAACAGGAUGAUGGUCACUCUUGUAUAUCACUUAGGCAUGAGUUCUGUUGAAUCCCA
rnacentral:lncRNA from 10 species